rnacentral:rRNA from 1 species
UACGAAGGGGGCUAGCGUUGCUCGGAAUCACUGGGCGUAAAGCGCACGUAGGCGGAUCUUUAAGUCAGGGGUGAAAUCCUGGAGCUCAACUCCAGAACUGCCUUUGAUACUGGGGAUCUCGAGUCCGGAAGAGGUGAGUGGAACUCCGAGUGUAGAGGUGAAAUUCGUAGAUAUUCGGAAGAACACCAGUGGCGAAGGCGGGUCUCUGGGCCGAUACUGACGCUGAGGCACGAAAGCGUGGGGAGCAAACAGG